rnacentral:rRNA from 1 species
AUUGAACGCUGGCGGCAUGCCUUACACAUGCAAGUCGAACGGUAACAGGUCUUCGGAUGCUGACAAGUGGCGAACGGGUGAGUAAUACAUCGGAACGUGCCUAGUAGUGGGGGAUAACUACUCGAAAGAGUGGCUAAUACCGCAUGAGAUCUACGGAUGAAAGCAGGGGAUCGCAAGACCUUGUGCUACUAGAGCGGCCGAUGGCAGAUUAGGUAGUUGGUGGGAUAAAAGCUUACCAAGCCGACGAUCUGUAGCUGGUCUGAGAGGACGAGCAGCCACACUGGGACUGAGACACGGCCCAGACUCCUACGGGAGGCAGCAGUGGGGAAUUUUGGACAAUGGGCGCAAGCCUGAUCCAGCAAUGCCGCGUGCAGGAUGAAGGCCUUCGGGUUGUAAACUGCUUUUGUACGGAACGAAAAGCCCCGGGUUAAUACCCUGGGGUCAUGACGGUACCGUAAGAAUAAGCACCGGCUAACUACGUGCCAGCCGCCGCCGUAA